rnacentral:rRNA from 1 species
ACGUUAGCGGCGUACGGGUGAGUAACACGUGGGUAACCUACCUAUAAGACUGGGAUAACUUCGGGAAACCGGAGCUAAUACCGGAUAAUAUUUCGAACCGCAUGGUUCGAUAGUGAAAGAUGGUUUUGCUAUCACUUAUAGAUGGACCCGCGCCGUAUUAGCUAGUUGGUAAGGUAACGGCUUACCAAGGCGACGAUACGUAGCCGACCUGAGAGGGUGAUCGGCCACACUGGAACUGAGACACGGUCCAGACUCCUACGGGAGGCAGCAGCC